AUUGAACGCUGGCGGCAGGCCUAACACAUGCAAGUCGAGCGGAUGAAGGGGGCUUGCUCCUGGAUUCAGCGGCGGACGGGUGAGUAAUGCCUAGGAAUCUGCCUGAUCGAGGGGGAUAACGUCCGGAAACGGGCGCUAAUCCCGCAUACGUUCUGAGGGUGAAAGUGGGGGUUCUUCGGACAUCACGCUAUCUGAUGAGCCUAGGUCGGAUUAGCUAGUUGGUUGGGUAAAGGCGUACCAAGGCGACGAUCCGUAACUGGUCUGAGAGGAUGAUCAGUCACACUGGAACUGAGACACGGUCCAGACUCCUACGGGAGGCAGCAGUGGGGAAUAUUGGACAAUGGGCGAAAGCCUGAUCCAGCCAUGCCGCGUGUGUGAAGAAGGUCUUCGGAUCGUAAAGCACUUUAAGUUGGGAGGAAGGGCAGUAAGUUAAUCCCUUGCUGUUUUGACGUUACCAACAGAGUAAGCACCGGCUAACUUCGUG
rnacentral:rRNA from 1 species